rnacentral:tRNA from 1 species
GGUUCCUUAGCUCAAUUGGUUAGAGCAUUCCCCUCAUAAGGGACAGGUUCUCGGAUCAUACCCGAGAGGAGCCACCA